AUGAGUAUCACCUAGGGAGCUUGUUAAAAUGCAGAUUCUAAUUCAGGGAGGUUGAGGUGGGGCUUGGGAGCCUACAUUUCUAAUAAGUUCCCAGGUGAUGUCUUU
rnacentral:pre_miRNA from 14 species